UGUCUACCCGGCAAUGGAUUUCCAGCAAGGGUGGCAGAGAAAAAUCCAUGACGAGAUGAACACCACCACGACAGCAUCAUGAAUGUCAUCGAGUUCUCUUGGGCAAUAAAACUGCAGUCACUGGAGGGAGCAAACCAAAUGACCAUAUAUAUUUAUCUACUACUCAGAUCACGGGGGUUCUGGAGUCCUUCACGUGUGGAAGUUAUAUCCUCUGUUUUGUUGUAUUAAUUUGUUUUGUUCAUCUUGUGUAUUGACCUUUGCAAGUUUCAGGUAUGCCUAACCUGCCAUAUCUCUAUGCUGCGGAUUUUAUCAAUGUCUUACAAGAAAAACAUGCAUCCAACACCUACGCAAAAAUGCAUCUAAUGCAGAAGAAAGCACCAGGGGUACAUACUGCCCAGGAAUGGAGCCAUCGCCUCCUUCUGAGUAUAUUACCUGCUUAGGUGAUCUUUACAGUAUUUCCUGGAUGGAAGAC